rnacentral:lncRNA from 1 species
UUGUUAUACUUGACCCUCUCUUAUCUUAAUCCCAUUCGUCACCAUGUUAGAGUCUAGUAAUCUGCACACCAUGGUCACCUCGGACCUUAUUCGACGACGACGUCGAAGAGGAAGUGGUCGUAUCCUAUCACCAAGGGCUGGUAGUAAAAAAAAAAUUGGUUAGAAAGAAAUCAAACUUUAAACCAACUCCACCCUACUGUUUGUGAAAAAAAAAAACAUGAAAAAUGUGAACUAAAAAUAGAAAAACGAACUGGUUAUCAGAAAAAUCCGUAAACUGCCCAAGAAAAGAACGUAAAAAAAUAAAAUCAAAUUACCAGAAAACAGAAAUGAGAUGUUCUACAAAAUCAUAAUUUCAUAGUUCUUUCUUCAACUCAAGCAAUUGGAAUUGCACAGCCUAGCCCAUACUGCAAUUCCAUGAAUCAUGAGCUCCAGGACCAGAAAAUCCUCCCUCUCUAAUGUUGAACAUUCUAGUCCUAACCUGAAUUGGCACACCCAUAAUUAUGUACUCACUCACUCCUCUAAUUGUGUCAACCCUCCUAUUCGCACAACCAUAUGAACAUAUGAUCCACCACCUGCUCGAACGACGUCAAUGCACUCACACUCUUCCCCAUUUUAUUUGCUCCGAAUCACGUCAAUCCAACCAGUUGCCCCAUG